rnacentral:rRNA from 1 species
CCUACGGGAGGCAGCAGUGGGGAAUUUUGGACAAUGGGCGCAAGCCUGAUCCAGCCAUGCCGCGUGUGGGAAGAAGGCCUUCGGGUUGUAAACCACUUUUGUCAGGGAAGAAACGGCUCUUACUAAUAUUAGGGGCUAAUGACGGUACCUGAAGAAUAAGCACCGGCUAACUACGUGCCAGCAGCCGCGGUAAUACGUAGGGUGCAAGCGUUAAUCGGAAUUACUGGGCGUAAAGCGUGCGCAGGCGGCUUUGCAAGACAGAUGUGAAAUCCCCGGGCUCAACCUGGGAACUGCAUUUGUGACUGCAUGGCUAGAGUACGGUAGAGGGGGAUGGAAUUCCGCGUGUAGCAGUGAAAUGCGUAGAUAUGCGGAGGAACACCGAUGGCGAAGGCAAUCCCCUGGACCUGUACUGACGCUCAUGCACGAAAGCGUGGGGAGCAAACAGGAUUAGAUACCCUGGUAGUCCACGCCCUAAACGAUGUCAACUGGUUGUUGGACGGCUUGCUGUUCAGUAACGAAGCUAACGCGUGAAGUUGACCGCCUGGGGAAGUACGGCCGCAAGGUUUGAAAGUUACGAAGAAGUUAGACGGCGNGAGAGNGCCGACGGACGACGACGAGGGGAGGAGGAG